GGGUCUCCAUUCUACAUCUACUGGGAAGCCACUGGGUUGCUGUGUGUUUUCUGAAACUGCCACAGCAAAUCACCACAACGCCGUGACUGACACAACGCAAGCUUGCUGUCAUUCUGCAGACUAGUAGUCCAGCAUGGCCUCACGGGACAACAUGAAGCCGCAACUGCAUCUCUUACUAGAAGAUUCUUAACCAAUUCCAAAGGCAUCUAGGAUGACAUUUCCUAAUACAGUGUAGAAAAGUCUAAUCUGAUAAUGUGACGUCACUUACUUUCUCCAGUGGCUUUAUUAGAUCUUCUGUAUUUAAAAAACAUAAGGAAAAAUCUCUUGAUUGUUAAGGGGGAACUUGAGAGAAUAACAUCUCCAGGAAUUACUAAAUAUGAUGUUUUGAAGACUUUCUCAAGAUCUUCUCAACAGGCUUUCAGAAUCUGGCUGCUACUUGUUUGUCUUGCUAGUGACACUUGGGGACAGUGCUUAGAGGACUGAGGUUGCCUUCCCCUUGCUGCUGGCUUCUGACCCUCUUCCUUCAUAUCCAAGGGGCCUCACGGAGUGCAGACUCAGUAUUACAUUGGGCAGUUCUCGGUAAUCUGGUAACACGUGUCCGAUGUCAGUUCCAGUUCUCUGGUUGAAUCUGAUAGGUACAGAUCCCA
rnacentral:lncRNA from 1 species